rnacentral:lncRNA from 1 species
GUCAUCCUUCACCAUAUCAUGGUUCACUUAUUGCGACUUCACUGUAUCUCAGGUUUUUUUAAAAAAUAAUAAUACAGUAUUAAUUCCUUUGAGUCCUGCAGGCUUUCACAGUUAAAAGGACAAGGACAUGUCCGGGCUGGAUCCCAAGGUCUCCAUCUGAGUGUCCCACCUCAUUCUGCAUCCAGGGGGCGGCCCUGGCCACAGUGUGGAUUCCUCUGGCUUGCUAAAUGUUACGCCAGGAGUGUGCUCCGUCCAUUGGAUGCAGGCUUCUGCAAAAUGCCCCAGCUCCAUCUCCAUAUCACCUAGCAGUCUUCCUCAACAUCACCCUUCAGAGUUUGGCCUAGUCUUCUGGAACUCAGUUCUCUCUGGCUUGGCCUGGAAGGAUAAAGAGUCUUGGCUCCUUUCUGCCUGCUGCCAAGGUGAGGAUUCCCCCAAGAAGGCCAGAGCAGGAUCUCCUAAGGCCCAGCUUCAAGCAAGAGGCCUCCUGGGCUCCAUAGGGUAUUCUGCACUCAGAAGGCAUUUGCUCAGCAUGGCCCUGCAGGACAUGGAAAGGCCUGCAGUCAAGAGGACUGGUUGGCUCUUGCCCUCAGGGAGCUCAUAGUCUGACAGGAAGAUUCAGAUAUGAAGUGAGCAAGUAAACAGCAAAUAUUUAUGCAUUUUGAAAAAAGAAAGAAAGAAAGAAAACACUGCAGGGGAACCCACUCUGUGUGGUACAGGUGAGUCUGAAGCUGAGAAGAAGCUGGGGGCAUGGGGCCUUGAGGGAAAUAGGGUCUAUGUGGACAGAACUGAGAAAGGCCAGGACCAGGAGGCUGCGGAGACUGGGUGUAAGCAGGGCAGCUGUGUCAGGCUUUGAGGCCACAUUCAGCAGUUUGGAGCUGGGCAGGAUGGCGCACAACUGUAAUCCCAGUAUUUUGGAGGCUGAGGCAGAAAGCUCACAAGUUCAAGGGCAGUCUGGGCUGCAUAGCAACACCCUAGCUUUAAAAAAAAAUAAGUUCAGAGUUAUCCCAGUUACUUUUUUCGCACUGCUGGGACAAAAUACCGGACACCCAAAAUUAAGGAAGAAGAGGCUUAUUUAGCUCAUAGUUUGUGGAGGUUUCAGUCCAUACUUGGCUAGCUCCGAGGGAGAGUGGCACACGGCACAGGGUAACUGUUCUGGCGGCAGAAGACAGCAAAGGCAAGUAAGCAAGAGCAAAAGGGAGGAGUGGCUGCAAGCAGCCGCUUUCUCUCCCUCACAUAUGCAAACUAUCCACCCCAAGCACUCACACCCAUGAAUCAAUCAUAAACUUUAGAAGCCCGCCCCA